rnacentral:rRNA from 1 species
CAGCAGUGAGGAAUAUUGGUCAAUGGACGAGAGUCUGAACCAGCCAAGUAGCGUGAAGGAUGACUGCCCUAUGGGUUGUAAACUUCUUUUAUAUGGGAAUAAAACAGGGUAUGCAUACCCUCUUGUAUGUACCAUAUGAAUAAGGAUCGGCUAACUCCGUGCCAGCAGCCGCGGUAAUACGGAGGAUCCGAGCGUUAUCCGGAUUUAUUGGGUUUAAAGGGAGCGUAGGUGGAUUGUUAAGUCAGUUGUGAAAGUUUGCGGCUCAACCGUAAAAUUGCAGUUGAAACUGGCAGUCUUGAGUACAGUAGAGGUGGGCGGAAUUCGUGGUGUAGCGGUGAAAUGCUUAGAUAUCACGAAGAACUCCGAUUGCGAAGGCAGCUCACUGGACUGCAACUGACACUGAUGCUCGAAAGUGUGGGUAUCAAACAGGAUUAGA